CUGAUUAUACACUGCUUUGCUUAUUUCAAAUCACAGAGAGCGCACGGAAGACACAUGUGGAUAUCAAGUGAGAACUGAAAGAUAUUUGAGAUUUAUUCCAUAAAUGAACUGAAAUGGGAUUUGCUUCUGAACAAUACUGAGGAGGAGGAGAAGCAGAAGCACCUGAAAAAACAACUGGCUAUGAACUGAGAACUGCUGAAGCUGGGUGAUGGACUGUGUGGGUACUAAAAGAAAACUGACACCUAAAGGAUCUCUUUCACGGAAUUUAGAGAAACUAAAAGAGAAUACAAAAGGGAAGACAAAAAAGAAUUUCCACAUUCCAUGUGGGAAAGACAUAUUUCCAAGUGUCUAUUUGCAGAAAUCUCUGAAUUAUUCUACUUUGUAAAGGUCAAAGUAGCCUACAGAAUAGGUGUACACAGUGGGCAUAUAAAAGGAAAAAAUUUUAACACUUACCAUUGGUAGACAAUAAAAACUGAGCAGCAUUUUUCUGGGGUAACCACCUAA